rnacentral:rRNA from 1 species
AUACGUAGGUGGCAAGCGUUAUCCGGAAUUAUUGGGCGUAAAGAGUGAGCAGGCGGUUAAUUAAGUCUGCGGUUAAAGCGUGGGGCUCAACCCCAUAAAGCCUUGGAAACUGAUUGACUAGAGUACGGGAGAAGUGAAGGGAACUCCAUGUGUAGCGGUGAAAUGCGUAGAUAUAUGGAAGAACACCAGUGGCGAAGGCGCUUCACUAGCCCGAAACUGACGCUCAGUCACGAAAGCGUGGGUAGCAAAUAGGAUUAGAUACCCUAGUAGUCCACGCUGUAAACGAUGACAACUAAAUAUUGCCGCGAGGCAGUGUUGAAGCUAACGCAUUAAGUUGUCCGCCUGGGGAGUACGGUCGCAAGACUGAAACUUAAAGGAAUUGACGGGG